GUAGCCAUACUGUUGCUUGACAAUGGGCUCAGCAUUAUCCAUACCUCAAUGGCAUCCUCAGGCCAAUCGGAAGCAUCACCAGCUUCAUGAAGAUGCGGCUCAAUCUUCAGGGAAGGUGUGAGGUGUACGUCACCUACGCUCGUGGUCUGUGUAAUACGGAAGAGAGGAUAUGAGACAUUCCACGUCAUUGAGAGUGACUGACUGCUGCUUAACCUUGAUGGGCGAAUCAGGGUCGUGCCGCUCCACGCUCGUCUCCAGGCUGCCCAUCUUCAGGAGGAGCGUGAGUAAGAGGCAGGACUCAUUGCCCUCCUCCCCGUCCUCAGGCGGCGUGGGCAAUGGCGUCCACACCUCGUCCCCCUCCAGCACCAACUCUAGCAACAGCAGCACGGGCAAGCGUCGCAGCCUGUUCCGCACGCCCUCCAUCCGCUUCAGCAGCAAGAGGAACAGCGAACCACCACGCAUACAGACCCCUCCGCUAGAUCCAGCCCAGGACUCCAAUGGCAGCCAGGCCAACACUCAGCUGGGCUUUCACGAUGGUGCUGGGCCUCCACGGGCCAAGACGCGGCACUCAUUUGGCUUCGGGGGCCACCGGCAGAAGAAGAUCACCCGCUCGCAGACGGAGGACUUUGAAAAGGUGUCUUCCACGGCCAAUAGGAAUGUGUUCAUCAAAUGCAUCAGCUCAGGUACCAAUGAGGGAGACGACUCUGGGUUUCUGGAUGACUACAGUGGCGGCAGCAGCAAACGCUCGUCCAGGCAGAAGAAACAGCUGCUGCCCAAGUCAUUCUCUGCCCACCACCGCUUCUCCAAGAACUCUGAGCAGUGCAAGCCCCCGGAGGUGAGCAUAGAGCCCCCAACGUCCGGGGGUACCCUGGGCUCGUGGCCAGGCGAGCUGCUGGGGGAGAGCUCCCUGCAGUCGCCCAUGCUGUCUGAGGACCGUACCACGGCCCUCACACCCUCUGAGUUUAAUGUCCCCAUCACAGAGGACACUGUGUCCGAGGUGGAUGCGCUACCCGCACCCAGCCCAGCCGACCCGCCAGACAACAACUUCAGCCAUGUCAUCUCUACACCCCAAGUGUUCUUCACGCCUGCCCAAGCUGCCACAGAUAAGCCCCUCCUGCCAGACACCAGCACAGCCAACACCACGGAGUGUGAGACUGCAAUUCCUGUCACAGGGCCAGCAACACCUGCAACAGCACCAAUGCCACCGCAACAACAACAACAAUCACAGGAAGAUAAGGAAGAGGGGGUAGAGGAGAAGGAGGAUGUGCCGGUGGUGGAGGAAGAGGUGAGACCAGAGCAGACAGAGACUAGUGAGAGCGAGGCAGGCCCAGUGCGUAGUAAAGGCUACCAUUCCAAUCCAGAGCAGUCUGAGAGGAGGUCCAGGAUCUCCGUACUCAUCCAGGAACCAGGGAAGGGAGCGUGCUGCGGUAGACAUGAACCCAGGUCAUGCCACCUGAGGAAACCCCACACAGUGUCCAUGUGCAGCAGCGGCGCCAGUCCCUACCACGAAGUGAUUCGCAUGGAGCGCCGUCUCCGCUCCUCCUCGGAAGGGGCUGGGGUGCCGCGGCGGUUCCACCUCAACCUCAAAGAGCCCCACAGCGCCGCCGAGGGUAACAUCCUGCUCAGAAAGAGGAACAACUCAUCCUCCUCCAAGCUGGGCAGCCUGGACCUACUGAACAACCUGGGUUCCUCUGAGCUGGAUGAGGACGACCUGAUGUUGGACCUGGAGCUCUCUGAUGACCAACGCCAGCGUCACGUAUCCCGAGAGGACUCCAGUCAGUCCCUGUCCUCCUGCCUGAGCCUGCUGCACUCCCGCUUUGAGCCCUCUGGAGACGGGAUCCCUGGCAGGGAGCCCUCUGGAAACAGGAUCCCUGGCAGGGAGCCCAGAGACGCCACCGCCCACAGGGAGCCGAGCCGGCCCACUACCCUGCUGCCUGCUGACUGGUGCCUGGGCCGGGAGGACGAGGCCCCGGGGCUAGAGGCACUGCCCCUUAGGCUGAUGCAGCACGACUGUACCUCCGUCAAGACCCUGCUGCUGCGCCUCCGGAGGACCCUGCAGGAGAGCACUGACACAAGUCCUGCAAGCAGCCUUCAUUCUCUCCCCAUCAGCCCUUGUAGUGAGAAGUCACUGCCCCUCAAGGAGCGGGGGAGGGAAGAGGCUCUGGUGCUGCAGCUGAGGGAGAAGGACGAGCUGAUCCUCCAACUGCAGGCUGAGCUGGAGAGUGCCAAAGCUGCCCUGAAACCCAUCUGCCAAAAAGCUGACAGAACCACGCAGACUGACCGCCCUGGAUCAGAGACCAUCCAUCCCAGCCGAGCAACAAGCCAAAACAGUACCGGCACAAGAGACAGAAGGCCGGCUCGGUCUCUCAUCGCGGACCAAUACAGCCGUAUGGCGGCAGAACACUCCACUUCCAGCGAUGAGAGCCACUGCCCAGCCCCAGCCCUGUCGUCCAGUGGACCCGGGGGAGGCAGGGACCAUGCAGGACCCUCUAGGAGACCAGAAGGGGCUCUGACCUCAUCAGAGGUAGGGGCUCUCAGGAGAAUCGACUACCCAGCCAGCCAGAUCCCCCGGGCGGUGGGGGUGGGAGCUGCGGUGUGGGGCAGCAGCUCCAGCCUGCAGAGCCGAGGCAGUCCCUGCCGCAGCAGCCUCUCCUCAGACAGCGAGAGAGCCCCGGUACCUAUCCCUUGCCAGCCUUCUUUCUCCACCUCAUCGUCCUCUUCCUCCUUCACGGGCCGCCUGGGCCAGCCUCCCAGAGGGCCCCUUUCCCUGCACAUGUACAGCCGCAAGAACGUCUUCCUGCAGCACUCACUUCACACUGCCGAACUGCAGGCCCUGGCCCAACACGACAGCUAAGGCACUGGCGUCGUGCGCACACACGCACGCACACAACCACUCAGACUUACACACACCUUUCACUUUCCCCAUAUCCCCUAAAACAUAUAAUUGAAUGGACACAUCACCGUCUGAAUCAUGGAAGUGAAAGUCAUCUCUGGAGUUCAUCUAACAAUCAGUGUCCUCAAACCUCAAAACUUCCAAUCAACUUGACUUUAGCUCAAAUCCUACCCAUUUCUUAAAUUUCAUUAAUCUCAACCCUAGCUGUCAGUCCUUCCCAUCCCUGAGCAGAGUAUGCUGUAACAGAUACUAUCCUGUACCCACCAUCUAGAUCACAGUAUUGGGACAUUAGCUGCUUUUCUUCUGAAAUGCAUAUUCUGUGUCACACGACCAUCCAAGCAUACCUCUAGACUCACAGAACCUCGGAAGGUACAUGUCUGUGUGCAUUUGACCACUUUGACAUUUUGCCAUAUUAAAAGGUUGAUAGAUGUGCUCACUUGAACACACACACACACACACACACACGUCAGUCUGUCUGUCUGUCUGUCUGUCUGUCUGUCUGUCUGUCUGUCUGUCUGUCUGUCUGUCUGUCUGUCUGUCUGUCUGUCUGUCUGUCUGUCUGCCAGUGUUCACAUGGCACUCGUCAGUCUAACACCUUAGAUCAGCACUAAAUGAUGAGCGUUGGCUGACAGCUGCUUAUGCCCACACACACUGCUAUUACACCCUAACAUGGAGACACUCCACUUCCCUCUCAGCUCUAACACUACAGGGAAUGAACUAAUGUGAAUGUUACAGUUUUGUCAGCAUAGCUGAACAUGGCCAAUCCAUGCUGCUCAUUGCACUGACAAUGUGGCCGACAUCCUUCUCAUAUUUGACAAAUCUUGUCAAAGAUCCCAACUCUGAUUUCUGACACACAGACAGUCAGUCCCAUUUAAGGGAGUUUCAUUCAUUAACCUUUUAAUAAUUGCAUGCUUUUUAAGACUAUAUACACAUUUAAGUGGGGGGGGGGUGUCUUUAAUAACAACAGAUGUCUGUCUACACCUGACACUUUUUUAUAUGUGGAUAUCAUAAACUGGGAGGAUUCACCAGGGAAGGUACUCAUAAAGCAUCUGAGUCCUGAUCUAAGAUCAGUUUUGUCUUUUAGAUAAAUAAUGAAUUAGAUGAUGCGUAUAGGAGCUACCUGAUCCUAGAUCAGCACUCCUGCUCUGAGAGGCUGUAUAAUGUCUCGUGUGAGAAUAGAACCCUAUCCUUGUACGGUCACUUAUUUAAGGCAGUAGGUAUUGUUAAAGGCAUAGCAUUUCAUAUUUGGAGAACACCAUUGUGAUAACAAUGUUGAUGAUACAUGAGAAUGCACAUCUUAGAACUGUAAGAUGGGUUUACAAAAAAAACGGUCAUGAGCUGUAAUGAUAAUUAGACACAUGAUGAUUUUUGUAACAAUGUACAUGAAACUGCUAUGGAACUGGACUAAACGCUGCAGUACAUAGUGGUGUACAGUAUAGAGGCUGCUGGGAGCCUGUCUGUCUGUCUGUCUGUCUGUCUGUCUGUUUGUGUCUGUUCUCUUUGGAAACAGCAGAAAGUGGUUGAGUAUGCUCCAGUCUAGUUGGAGUCCAGUCUCGUUGGAGUCCAGUCUCGUUGGAGUCCAGUCUCGUUGGAGUCCAGUCUCGUUGGAGUCCAGUCUCGUUGGAGUCCAGUCUCGUUGGAGUCCAGUCUCGUUGGAGUCCAGUCUAGUUGGAGCAGAAGCAAGGACUCAUAGAGGGGAAGGACAUCUUGAAGAAAUGCAGCUUUACUCUCCCCGUUCCAGCUCCUCUCCCUCAGGAUUACUGCUCUACUUUCUUUCCCUCUCCCCCUCUCCUCUCUCUCCCUCUCCCCCUCUCCUCUUUCUCUCUCUCCCUCUCAGCCUACUUACACUAGCCCAGCAUUGUCACACCUAGAGAGAGCGAAAGAGAGAGCAGCUUGGAGGAGGGAAUGUCUUCAGGGCUCUCUUUAUCCUGUGUUUAGUGGGGCUCUCUGUAUCCCAUGACGACAACGAGGGGCUAGUACAUCAGCUUUAAUUAUUGCAACUUUGGGAUAGAUCAACAUACUGCUCUCAGGACAAGGAUUGGGAAUAGAAAGGGGAACUCAAGGUUUAAGGACAAAGUUAUGGUUUUGAGUUCUGAACAAUUGUGUACACAACUGAAGAACAAUGAUCUAUUCUCUUGUAGUGGACAGAGCAUCACAAGAGUCUCAGUAAUUUGUUUCUUAAUUGACCACAAAGUCCAGGACACUUCGUUGACUUUUAGCUCUCAUAUUGUUCACCUUUUAUUUGAUGUUUUGUGAAAUUGGAUAACAAGGACUUAUUAUUUAAAAGUUUUAUGAAGAACAUGACUGAAUUUACACACUGGUGACAUGAUGUUAUACAGUUGCGUGUAUAUUGUACAUAGAUAAGCCCUGUUAAUAUUCAUGUAAGUCGAUUUAAGGUUAUUUUUUAAAACAUUUACAGGGUUCACAAUGUAGAGAAAUGAGAGAUCAAAAAAAGAAUAAUCAUGUAAAGUGGUCUCUCCACCACUAGUUGUUUUAAUAAAUGAUUUUCACUCUG